GUAAAGCACUUUCAGUCGUGAGGAAGGCGGGUACGUUAAUAGCGUAUUCGUUUGUACGUUAGCGACAGAAGAAAGCACCGGCUAACUCCGUGCCAGCAGCCGCGGUAAGUACGGAGGGUGCGAGCGUUAAUCGGAAUUACUGGGCGUAAAGCGCAUGCAGGUGGUUUGUUAAGUUCAGAUGUGAAAGACCCGGGGCGUCAACCUCCGGAAUAAGCAUUUGUAAACUAGGCAGACUAGAGUACUGUAGAGGGGGUAGGAAGUUUCAGGUGUAGCGGUGAAAUAGCGUAGAGAUCUGAAGGAAUACCGGUGGCGAAGGCGGCCCCUCGGACAGAUACUGACACUCAGAUGCGAAAGCGUGGGGAGCAAACAGGAUUAGAUACCCUGGUAG
rnacentral:rRNA from 1 species